rnacentral:rRNA from 1 species
GGAAACUCUGACGCAGUGACGCCGCGUGCAGGAAGAAGGUUUUCGGAUUGUAAACUGCUUUAGACAGGGAAGAAUAAAGACAGUACCUGUAGAAUAAGCUCCGGCUAACUACGUGCCAGCAGCCGCGGUAAUACGUAGGGGGCGAGCGUUAUCCGGAUUCAUUGGGCGUAAAGCGCGCGUAGGCGGCCCGGCAGGCCGGGGGUCGAAGCGGGGGGCUCAACCCCCCGAAGCCCCCGGAACCUCCGCGGCUUGGGUCCGGUAGGGGAGGGUGGAACACCCGGUGUAGCGGUGGAAUGCGCAGAUAUCGGGUGGAACACCGGUGGCGAAGGCGGCCCUCUGGGCCGAGACCGACGCUGAGGCGCGAAAGCUGGGGGAGCGAACAGGAUUAGAUACCCUGGUAGUCCCAGCCGUAAACGAUGGACGCUAGGUGUGGGGGGACGAUCCCCCCGUGCCGCAGCCAACGCAUUAAGCGUCCCGCCUGGGGAGUACGGCCGCAAGGCUAAAACUCAAAGGAAUUGACGGGGGCCCGCACAAGCAGCGGAGCAUGUGGCUUAAUUCGAAGCAACGCGAAGAACCUUACCAGGGCUUGACAUAUGGGUGAAGCGGGGGAGACCCCGUGGCCGAGAGGAGCCCAUACAGGUGGUGCAUGGCUGUCGUCAGCUCGUGUCGUGAGAUGUUGGGUUAAGUCCCGCAACGAGCGCAACCCCCGCCGCGUGUUGCCAUCGGGUGAUGCCGGGAACCCACGCGGGACCGCCGCCGUCAAGGCGGAGGAGGGCGGGGACGACGUCAAGUCAUCAUGCCCCUUAUGCCCUGGGCUGCACACGUGCUACAAUGGCCGGUACAGAGGGAUGCCACCCCGCGAGGGGGAGCGGAUCCCGGAAAGCCGGCCCCAGUUCGGAUUGGGGGCUGCAACCCGCCCCCAUGAAGUCGGAGUUGCUAGUAAUCGCGGAUCAGCAUGCCGCGGUGAAUGCGUUCCCGGGCCUUGUACACACCGCCCGUCACACCACCCGAGUCGUCUGCACCCGAAGUCGCCGGCCCAACCGCAAGGGGGGAGGCGCCGAAGGUGUGGAGGGUGAGGGGGGUGAAGUCGUAACAAGGUAGCCGUACCGGAAGGUGCGGCUG